rnacentral:rRNA from 1 species
UACAGAGGUCUCAAGCGUUGUUCGGAAUCACUGGGCGUAAAGGGUGCGUAGGCCGCACGGUAAGUCAGAGGUGAAAUCCCGGAGCUCAACUCCGGAAAUGCCUCCGAUACUGCCGUGCUUGAGGACUGGAGAGGAGUCUGGAAUUCACAGUGGAGCAGUGAAAUGCGUAGAGAUGUGGAGGAACACCGAUGGCGAAGGCAGCCUCCUGGGCCAGCACUGACGCUCAUGCACGAAAGCGUGGGGAGCAAACAGG